rnacentral:rRNA from 1 species
UACGUAGGGUGCAAGCGUUGUCCGGAAUUAUUGGGCGUAAAGAGCUCGUAGGCGGUUAGUCGCGUCUGCUGUGAAAACUCGGGGCUUAACUCCGGGCCUGCAGUGGGUACGGGCUGACUAGAGUUCGGUAGGGGAGACUGGAAUUCCUGGUGUAGCGGUGAAAUGCGCAGAUAUCAGGAGGAACACCGGUGGCGAAGGCGGGUCUCUGGGCCGAAACUGACGCUGAGGAGCGAAAGCGUGGGGAGCAAACAGG